GAUGAACGCUGGCGGCGUGCUUAACACAUGCAAGUCGAACGGAAAGGCCCAAGCUUGCUUGGGUACUCGAGUGGCGAACGGGUGAGUAACACGUGGGUGAUCUGCCCUGCACUUCGGGAUAAGCCUGGGAAACUGGGUCUAAUACCGGAUAGGACCGCAUUUUGGAUGGUGUGGUGGAAAGUUUUUCGGUGUGGGAUGAGCUCGCGGCCUAUCAGCUUGUUGGUGGGGUAAUGGCCUACCAAGGCGUCGACGGGUAGCCGGCCUGAGAGGGUGUACGGCCACAUUGGGACUGAGAUACGGCCCAGACUCCUACGGGAGGCAGCAGUGGGGAAUAUUGCACAAUGGGCGCAAGCCUGAUGCAGCGACGCCGCGUGGGGGAUGACGGCCUUCGGGUUGUAAACUCCUUUCGCUAGGGACGAAGCGCAAGUGACGGUACCUGGAGAAGAAGCACCGGCUAACUACGUG
rnacentral:rRNA from 1 species